GCUCUCAUCACCUAUAUACUCUUCUCUCUGCCCGUCUCUGCUUCCCCCCCCUUCCCCCCCCCCUUUUCUCCCGGCCGACGGAGCUGAAGGGGCGGGGGUUCCUUCCUUGGAGUGUUUCUAGAGCUCGGAGGCUGCUGGUAGGGGGGCACCACUUUCAGAUAAAAACAUAGACCUGAAUGGCAUCAUCCAGUAUCCAAGGAAACCAUGCUUGCUUGAAGAGUGAGCAGGUGAGCAAAGAGACAAGAUUACAUGUUUAAACCAAGAAAAGAAUCUUGAAAAACAGAUUGGAAGAAUGCGAAAUGUUAUUAGACACAGGCACAGCAUAGCAGUAGAAACAUCUUAACUGAGAACUUGGAACUGAAAGAGAAAGCAACCAACUUAAAGGGCAGACAAGACACAUGGUUAUGUAACACAGCAGUGGGUAUUCACAGUGAUGACACAAGACAAAACAAUUACAUUUUCAUUCUAAAAGUAAUUUUUAAGGAGGCAAGGGCAUUUAUAAAACAUUUUAGAAACUAUUUAAUAAAAAUGGUAAAAUUAAAGUGUUUGUUUAUGUACUCAACAAAUAUUUAUUUGGAAAGUGCAUGCCUGGGGGCACAUCUCGUUAAUGAGGUGAUCCUGUGUUUAGAACUGAAGGCAGUCCUCAUCCAUUCUCUCAAAAGGUGACCUUCUUUGUUCUUCUUAUAGCCUCACCACAUUUAAUUUUCAGAGGUUUUGACAUAAAUUAAAAACAUUCUUUGGUAGAUUGUAUUGUAUGAAAACAAUCUUCAAAAGUGUAAGCAUUGAUAUCUGGAAUAUCUGGGAAAAUGUACAAUAAAGACAUCUCUUCUGGUCUUCCUCUGAUGGUAAUGUGUUCACUAUUAUACUGAUGAUGUAAGCUAUGUAUGUAAACCUAUGCAGGUAAAAUUCUGCUAAAGCCAAUCCCACUACAAAACAACAACAACAACAAACCCCAAGUGGCAUCUGAAGAGCUUGGGAAUUCCAGGAAUGUGAUAAAAAUGUUUUUAAUAAUACACGGAAAAAUAAUUUAGUGUGUAAAUAAUAUUUUAUAGUAAAUGCUUCAUUUUAUUCCUUCCAUAUAACAACUGUCUUCUGUAAUGAAAAUACUUACUUGUUUGUUUAGUGUCUAAAGGUUGAGAAGGGAACUAGAAUUGGCCUAAGGAGGCCCUCAGCCACCCAUCAUGUGACAGUAUGGCCAGGAGGACUUACUCUCUGCUCUCCUCCUCUUGACAUGCCUCAAACACACCAAUCAUUUGCACUUGGGAAAUCAACCCUCACUAGCAAAUUACUCCUGCCAACAAAAUAACCCAAUCAGCAUGCAAAACUGGUAGCGAGCUGGGAGAGGGCGAUGAGAGUGGUGUUCACAUGGCUCCCUCUGUUUCCCUUUCCCCAGGUCUGGGCACACACUGUCAGUCAGUGGCCCCUGACUCAGAAAGAGGUUUGAUUUAAACCAUUUCAUUUUCUGCUCUCAGACUGGGAAUUUAUUUAAUAUGAAUGUCAUCAUUAUAACAAAACUCAACUGUAUUCUAGCAAAAAUUUGGCUGAUCUAUGAAGAAUAUUGGAAGGAGAAUCUGUGAACCCAAAAAUACUAGACCACUGCUUAUUCAGUUCUGCAAUUUUGUCACUUUAAUGGACUCUUCAGAGUGCCAAAUCACUAGUCCUACUGACUAUACAAAAAUUGGCCAUCAACAUGCCUGCCUCCAACAAAUUGUUGCUGUUACUUCAUGUUAUCCACUUUGGGCUUAGAGACUGAAGGCCAAAAAGCAUCCAAUUUUUAUGGUAAAAAAGUGCAUCAGGAGGGCAACUACAUACAAAGUUACCCUCCCAGUUUGACCCUGUCCUUAAGUUUUUAUUGCCUGAACUGGCACCAAAGAAACUCCUUGAAAAUAACACAUUCCUUGUCCAUUCAGUGGUUAAUGAUGCUUAAAAAAAAUCACAGUUUGUGACUGUGACCUAAAUUAUGCCAGAAGCUGUAAAACCAUGGUUUCUUUAAAUUCAAAUAUGACCCACAUGCUUUAAAACCACUACACUGACCCUAUAGUACUGUUGCUGAGUGUGCGUGUCCUCACAUAAACACAGACACACACACACACACACACACACACACACACACACACUCCCCACUUGGCAUUAAAUGACUCGAUAAAAGAAAUGGUAUUUUUCAGACUUCCAUGUUAAAAAAAAGGCUCAUGAAAGAGAUGUAAGUGAGCUUUAAGCCAAACAUUUGUUUGGCUUUGCUGCAGCAGGCUGCAGGAAUGUAAACUUUUUUUUUUUUUUCAAUGACUUCAGCUCCUAAUUUGAAAGCUAGGAUUUUUAGGAGUGAGCAAGAGACUAUAUUUGGCCAAAAAAUUCUGCUGGCUUUACUUAGCCAAUCUGCACAUUCAAAACAAUACUUCUUUAUCAAAAAAACAAUAGUCUGUUUUAUUCACAGCACAUGUAGAAGUUGGAACAUCGACUAAAUUCCACUUUCUUCUCUUGCAGUGUGUCUGUAACCAGCUAAUGAGCUGCAACAGAGCCUGGCCUUCAUUUUCAGCAAAUUAAGUUCAUCCCUCAUAGGAAUUGUGGUCUGGCUGUGGCACCGCUCCUAGGUAUGGGUGGGAUUUGUUUCUUCUAGCAGUUGUAGGUUAGCCACAUGGGUACGUGCUGUCGCACCACACAACAAAAUUUUCUCUAUAAUAACCAGUCUAAGUAGGCUUUUACCCCACAAAAGUAGAUCCCAUUUAAUUUACUUUGUGUUUAUAGCACUCCCUCUCAAACCGCACCAUUGGCACAGACUAAUAUUUAUACAACUUUUUAUUUUAAACUAUUUAUUUGGAGUUGAGACUUCAGUAGCACUCCCUGUCAGAUUCAUUGAACAAGCUUAAAUUCAGGAUACUGAAAAUGUAAAUUGGGAAGAGGGAUGUAUGUUCUUGGGAUUCUUUUCUCCCGUGCAUGGACACCCAAACAACUCUCACUGUAGUAAAGGGAGGUUACACAUGUGUUGAUAACAUUUGUAUUACUGCUGGUAGGAAAUUGAACAUUGAUGGGUGGUUUUAAAAGCCUGCUUUUGCCUAUUGUGUUUCCACAUUUCUUUGCCAAUAUAGUUGGUCAAAUUAGUUAUGCAAAAUGCAUCUAAAAACUUCUAAUCCAAAAGUGUCAAUGUUGUUAAAGAUUUCUUUUCAUACACAAAGAAAUAUUACAUUGCUCCAUUAUUUUAAUGGAAGUCGUUAGUCAAAUACGCUUUUGCCACAGAAAGAAAAGGGAAAAAAUUCUUAAUUUUGUAUCUGACCUCUGCUUUGGGGCCUUACUUUAAGUUACAUUUUUCUUAAAUAAAGCUUUUCUGUUUUUUAAAGUGAAUGACGGGAUGUUAACUUUAAAUAGACAUUUAACCACAUAAAGUAUAGUGGCAGAUGGUUCAUUUUUCUACUCAGGGUAGACACUUUAUUCAGGUAAUGAUAUUUAAUCCUCAUUUUCUAUGAAAUCUGCAUGUUGUUCUUAAAUCUGAUACUAUUUUGUGAUUUAAAAUGAGUGUUGGGUUAACUUUGUUUACAAGUGAAGUAUUUAUCCCUUUGAUUCUCUUUUACUUUCUUCUUUUGGUAAACACCUAUCCGUUUCUAAGACCCACUUAUAUGUUAUCUCAUCAAGGAAAAUUUUCCCAUCCUCCCAAAGGAGAACAGAACUCCACUGUAGUGGAAUAAGUUUUUUGAGGUAUGAACCAAUGCUUCUGUCCUCCUAAUAUUCUUACAACCUCUAACCCGCCUCUGCAUUCAGGAAACCAGAAUACAUUAGGGAGGAGACAGCAAAGGAAAACAAAAGACAAUAAAGGAAUCGAUGUAUUUGUUUUGUAACUCAAAGUUAAAGUCCAAAUUUAGAAAAUAGAUUUGAAAGCAUAACGGGUCAAUUUCUGUUGUGCCUCUGAAGAAGAAAGUUGAGAAAGAACGAAGAGGGCUUAGAUGCUGGUGGGUGUCUGCAAAAAAGCCCAGACAAUGCCUGGAAUAAUAAAGAAGCAGAGAACUUCCAGGGAGGAAGGGAACAGUCUCUAAGAUGGAGCAGGACCUGGGGAAGUCUUGCUUCUCCACUGAAGAACAUGGACCAAGACCAGGGCAGAAGGGAUGGCAGCUUCCCCGUAGAGCAGUGAGGACGGAUGACGACAUGAAGACUGGACUGCUCAUUCUCACCUUCCCUUCACAGUCCCUGGCACUUUUUAAGCUCCUUGGAAAUUAGAGGCAAUCUAGGAGAAAGGGGGAUAGAAGCAGACCUUAUUUCUGUUACAAUGUGAAUGGGAGCUUCAAAUUGAAGAUAAAAUGUUAUGGAAAAAGUGAAAUUAUAUAUAUAUUUUGCACAUCGUAGCUUGGUGGCUUUAGGUUUCUGUGCAUCAAAGGAAGGAAUUGUGUCUUCCUCAUUGUCAUACUCUGGUAUUGGAGAUUGUGCAACAUAUAUAGUAGGUAUGCAAUAAACAGCUGUUAACAGAAUGAAUCAAUACUUUGUAGAGUAUUGCCAACCACUCCAGAGCUUUGAUCUGGCUUCUCUGUUGGGUCAGGAAAAAAAAGAAAAAAGGAGUCCUGCUUUAUUUGUGCCUGUUGCAUGCCAGCUUGGCCUGUUUACUCCUGUGGUUUCCCGCAUUCCAAAGCAAUGCAACGUUGCUUGAAGUUACACUUGAGCAUUUUCUAGAGCAUUUCUUCUGUCCAUCCUACUUGCAGUGACUCCACUUCAGUUCCUUGUAUGCCAGCUGCUGUGAUAGCUUGCUGUCACUAAACAUCUACAUGUGUCCACCCCAGAGGAAUUAAGUGGGACCACAUUAAUGCUAGGGAGCUGGCGGUCUUCCAAAACUGCACUCUGGGUCAUUCUGUCUUGUGCUUUGGUAAAGUCUUUUCCCCCAUCGCCUUCCAGUGGGGAGAGGGAUAGGGUACAGCCUACAAAACAGAAACAGAAUGCCCAGUGUGCGGGUGGAAUACUUCCUCUUUCCUUCGUGAGUAGAGGAGACCGAUUCAGAGGAUGUUCCACUUAUUCAUUCCCUUCUAGUGUAAUUUUUGCUCAAUAUUUUCUCUUUCUGUCACCUAUAAACCAGAGGGGAUAUCCACUGGUAUACUGCGUUGUGUGGAACGAGGGGGACUGUUCUGUUUCCUCCUUCAGCUCUUGUGAAGGCACUUGCCAUUUCCCUGAUGCACCAUUUAGACAUCAGUGUCCACAUCUUGUAAGUCAAACUUGUGUCAUCCAAAAGGUUCUCAUACACAUUCAAAUGUUAAUAAAUGCCAAUAUCUUGUUCAUGACCUUACACAUAAAUCUGAAAUAUGUAAGAAAGUGUAAACUACCCUCCUUUUUACCUCCACUCUUCUCUCAUAUAUCAGUUCAUAUACUGCUUGUUGCAAGUAGCAGAAAACCCAAUUCAAACUGACUUAACGGGCAUGUAGGGGCCUCAUAACUGGAAGGUGGUGUGGUGUAGGUGGCUCUGUUGUGUCAAGAAAACAUGGUUGUUUUCUGUCUCUCCACUCUGACAUCCAGGGCCUCCUUCACAGUCGCAAGAUGACUUCCAGCAGCUGGCACAAGGAUUACCUGUUUCUUUUUGUUCAUAUCCUAUAGACACAUGGUAACUACUAAGGGACCUUCUUUCUCAGAGCCCUCUGGAAAUAUGUAUAUAUAUACUUAUAUAUAUAUAUAUUUUAAUAUAUUAUAUAUAAUAUAUAUUUGUGUGUGUGUGUGUGUGUGUGUGUGUGUGUGUGUGUAUCUACACAUAUAUAUGUUUUUUUGAGACAGUCUUGCUGUGUUGCCCAGGCUGGACUGCAGUGGCACCAUCUCGGCUCACUGCAACCUGUGUCUCCUGAGUUCAAAGGAUUCUCUUGCCUCUGACUCCUUAGUGGCUGUGAUUAUAGGCACGUGCCACCACGCCUGGCAUAUUUUUGUAUUUUUAUUACAGGCUCAGUUUCGUCAUGUUCCUCAGCUGGUCUCGAAGUCCUAGCCUCAAGCGAUCCACCUGCCUUGGCCCCCCAAAAGUGCUAGGAUUACAGGUGUGAACCACCAUGCCUGGCCUGGAAAUAUAUGCUUAAAUCUUACCUGCCCAAUUUUGAAACACAUGUUAUACACAUGCAAUGAGUCACUCUUCUCCUUCUUUAUCAUUUAUCACUUCUACUAUCUCUUUGGGUAGUAGAUAAAAGGGAAUGAGGACACUAUAACAUAUCAAAAUGGGCCUGAAUGAGACUGCAAUGAAGAAUAUACCUCCAGUUUGCACUCCAGCCCAGGUGACAGUGUGAGACUCAAUCUCUCUCUCUCUCUCUCUAUAUAUAUAUAUAUAUACUUCCAGUGACACGGACUUCAGCUGCUUGCAAUUAAUCACUCUCAAUCAAUCAAUUGACGCCGAUUGGGCUGUGAAAAUAGUUGGGUGAAGCUGUGUUCAAGCUCCGACCUUACUGUUUACCAGAUGUGUAAUCCUGGUCAAUUCAUCUACCCUUUCAGAAACCUAGUUUUCUUAUUAAGAUCAAACAAGAUAUUUGCAAAACCACACCAAUAACUUCUGCAUUCUCCAAAGGCCAGGCAUUAUUAUUAUUGCUUUUUCAAAUGAAAUCAGAAGAUUGAUCUUCAUUAGGAGUUACUUUCAGAUCUACAUUUAUAGAUUUUACAGUGUAUCAGUCAUUAAUUUUCUUAAAUAUCAUGCUAAGAAAAUUAUUUGUGAAAUAUUUUUUAUUUAUAGAUGUUAUAGUAUUACUAAUACAUGAACCUUAAAAAAUAAUUAGAAUUCUCAGCACAUCCUAAGAAAAACUUUUUAUUCCAUAACUAAUUUCUAAUUUUUGAAACACGGAUGUUAAGUGUAAAGUUAAUUGUUUUACAGUUUUGAGUUAAUGAACAUGAAAAACAAUACCUCCCUUUCCAUUUGAACUGCCUUAAAACUCAGAGUUGAAUUCAGACCUUAGCUGGGGAAAGUUCUAUUUUAGAUUCUUCUAAUAGCUAUCUCUUUGCUUUGUUUUAUUCAUCUUUAUUCUCAUUUACUUUCAACUGAUUCAUGCUAUCUACGUAUUUCAACAUUCUGAGUAGCUUCAUAUUCUUUAUGGAAAUUACAAAAAGGAAAAAGAAAGAUAUGAAGGGAGGGAAAAAAGACAGGAGAAAGGAAAGAGUAGAGAGGGUGUUGGAGAAGGAAUGACAAACUCUGAGCCAAGCAGUGGCUUGCAAACAAGAAGGAAUCGAUUGGAGACGGUUGGUGAGAAGGCACUUACAGGUGCCAAAGAGAGAAGAAAUAAGAUCUGGACUGAAGGUCAUGACAGUGAGAAAGGAGAUCAGGGGAUAAGCUUAAGAACUUUUUCAGGUGAACAACAAAGAAGACUUGGAAACUCAGUGAUCAGGGAUUGGAAAUGAUGGUGAUGGUAAGUGGAAUAUCAUUGAUGCUGAACAUUCAAACCUCACUGAUGUCAGAAAAGGUAUGAAGAUGGGGUGGAGCAGGGGACAGAGAUAAAAGUGCCAGACAUAGUGCUAGCCAAUUUACAGAAAGCGCUUAACUUUACAUGAAUAGUCUUAUUUAAUUCCCCAAAUAACCAUUUGAGAUAUUAGUAUUCCUCUUUGCAGAUGAGUAAAUUUUAAAAGAGCAGGGUUUUUGUUGUUGUUGUUUUUUGAACUGGUAAUUCUGACUUAUACAGACAUGACAAACUCCAAAAGGAAACCCAAGCAGCUAUUUGGCUCCCUUAAUUAAUGAAGUCGCCCAGUAUGGAUAAUUCAGGUAAAAAACAAUUACUCCUCUUUCCUCAUCAGAUAUCAUGUUGUGAUCUUGCAUGUGUAUAAGAAUAUGUGUUUGGAGAAGGAAUUAUUUUUACUGCAGAAAGUUUCUUCUUUGUGUUGGUUAUGUAACAUUAACUUCACUCAUAUAGCAACUUGGAUGUGCCUGGAAAAUAGCUCCAUUAUUUUGUCUAUAACUAUUCUGGUUCUCUUAUAAAUAUAGAGUCCUAUGCAUUUUAAAAUUCAGUCCAAUCCAAUAAUUAAAACCAUCCCUUUAGGUAAUGCUGUCUCUUUUGGAAAACAUGCCUAGUCUCCCAGAUUUCUCAGCCUUCUGUCCACUUCCAGGCACCCCUUCAAGUUGGUGUCUGGGUGCUUUCACAGUCUAGGAGUGGUAGGGAAGAGCUGGUAUUCUUUGGUGCAGAGACCUGUUGAUCCUCUGGCUUUUGGGGUGCUGUCCUUCUCUAUUGUCUUGCUGGCACUCAUAGCUGAUCUAGGCACCUUUUAUGUUAAGUUGAUCAACUCUCCCUCCCCUUGGCUUUGGUUGAUGCUACAGAACAUCUGUCUCUGCUUUAUUCUCAAGUGGCUCCCUGGUGGAAAGCCCAAACUGAGCCUCUGCCAUGGAAGCACCUUGCCUGCCAGUUCUCACCUCAGCUGCCUCGUCAUUUCCCCUGGGGCUUAGAUGCAGGGUUUUGUAGAAAUUCCUAGUUUCUAUCCAGGCCACAUUGAAACUCAGAGGAGUCUAGAAAGCCAUUCCUCAAGGUUAAGAGAUGAGUUCUCAGCAGGGGCAGCUCCAGAAGGUUGCAUUCUAGAGUCAGGUAUGGAAUUUGGGACUGCUUUUCCCUUGAGCUUCCCAGCACACAACUACUAAGAAAAGAGAAAGCCAGAAAGGGAAAUUGAAAUGCAGUCUCAGAUUGCUUUCCAUCCUCUACCAUUCUCAGCUCCCAGAAACAGAAGGGAUGGGCUUAGUUCUCCUUUAACUUUAUACUAAGCCCUUGUAUAUACAGCAGCAAGCCUCAUGACCUAGAGAGUUCAUAGGUGGAUGGCAUCCUCUCUUUAUAAUGAGAAUUCUGAUUGAGUCCUCUAGCUUAGUUUUGAAAUGUUAAGUAGGUACUGAAAGAAUUUAGCAAAUCCAUUUACUCUCCCCAAAGCCUUGCUUUCAAGCUAAAUUCUUAUUCUUUCCUGACCUAAAGCAGUAAGUUUUCUGGCUUGGCCUUGAAGAUUAGACCAAAAAGAAAUGUGAUUUAGGGAAUGUCAUGAAAUACACUGGUUAUUAUUUGCAAAAUACUGUUCCUGGUACAGUUACAUAAACACAGUUAAAAGUCCAGAAAUCUAUGUAGCUGAAUGUGCGGUUUGCACUUUCUAGCUUCUGGUAAAAUUAACAUGACAAUCACUUUCUAAUCAAUUUUGUCUAGCAAGUAGAAAAGGUGGAGAGCUAGUUUUAUUGUAAGCAAAAGGUUGAUAAGAACUUAGUAGAUUAUAUUUAGUAUACAGCCUAUAAAAAAGAGAAAUAAUUACAGCCAUAGUGACAAAAACAGGCAAACACUUCUUUUAUCAACAAAUAACGAAUUAACAAAAAAGGUGACUUUUACAGUGUAAUGUUCCUGAGGAGUUUUUAAACUGCCAGUUUUAGAGAUUGUUUUCUAAGUGUUUUGUCAGAAGAAAAAGCUUUAAUAAUUUUUAUUUUUUGAAUGCUACAGUGUAGAGUUUUGUUUUAUGUGAUAGCAAAAUAAAUUCACUUCUGUUUUACUUUAUUUUUUCUCAUUCUAUUUCACCAUCUGUAGUGGGCCUGGUCAGAUAGAGGUGAAAAUUAAGUUACAGUAACAUGAAAAGUAUACCUAGAAAAUCAUGUGAAUUCUUUAAUGAAGGUUCUGCAUUUACUUUACUUGAAGAAAUAUUUCCUUCGUGGUACAGACUGAAAAUCAGAAGUAUUGAAUUAAAUAUUUGUAAAAGAAUAGUGAAUUAUCCACUGUUGCAUUGCAUUAUAUAUCUUAGUCUUGGUAUUCUAUUCUAAUUACAAGGUAAAAUUUCUCCCAAAUUCCAAGUUUACAUUACAAAUAAAACACAUAUAAUGGCCACAACUCCUAAAAUAUUCUCCGAAAUUAUGGGCACAUUUAUUCAUGUUAACAUGAGGUUUGCA
rnacentral:lncRNA from 1 species